AUGGCGAGAUGUGCGCCACCGAUCUACUUGGACAGGCAGAACACGGGCCGAAUUCGCCUGCGAUUCUGCUCACCAACUCCGAGAAGCUCGCGCGCGAGACCAUGGCCGAAAUCGAGCGCCUCCUGAANNNNNNNNCAAAGGCGUGGGAGGACUACAGCGAAGUGAUCGUCUGCGAUUCCGAAGAGGAGAUGGUGAAGGAAGCCGACCGCAUCGCCUCCGAGCAUGUGCAGGUGAUGA
rnacentral:misc_RNA from 1 species